GCAGUAGCCGCGGGAAUACAGAGGGUGCGAGCGUUAAUCGGAUUUACUGGGCGUAAAGCGUGCGUAGGCGGCUUCUUAAGUCGGAUGUGAAAUCCCUGAGCUUAACUUAGGAAUUGCAUUCGAUACUGGGAAGCUAGAGUAUGGGAGAGGAUGGUAGAAUUCCAGGUGUAGCGGUGAAAUGCGUAUAGAUCUGGAGGAAUACCGAUGGCGAAGGCAGCCAUCUGGCCUAAUACUGACGCUGAGGUACGAAAGCAUGGGGAGCAAACAGGAUUAGAUACCCGUGUAGUCCCUGUCUCUUAUAC
rnacentral:rRNA from 1 species